rnacentral:rRNA from 1 species
UGGGGAAUUUUGGACAAUGGGCGCAAGCCUGAUCCAGCAAUGCCGCGUGCAGGAUGAAGGCCUUCGGGUUGUAAACUGCUUUUGUACGGAACGAAAAGGUCUUGGUUAAUACCUGAGGCUGAUGACGGUACCGUAAGAAUAAGCACCGGCUAACUACGUGCCAGCAGCCGCGGUAAUACGUAGGGUGCGAGCGUUAAUCGGAAUUACUGGGCGUAAAGCGUGCGCAGGCGGUUAUGUAAGUCAGAUGUGAAAUCCCCGGGCUCAACCUGGGACCUGCAUUUGAGACUGCAUAGCUAGAGUACGGCAGAGGGGGAUGGAAUUCCGCGUGUAGCAGUGAAAUGCGUAGAUAUGCGGAGGAACACCGAUGGCGAAGGCAAUCCCCUGGGCCUGUACUGACGCUCAUGCACGAAAGCGUGGGGAGCAAACAGG